CAGUCGCCGCGGUAAUACGGAGGGUGCAAGCGUUAAUCGGAAUUACUGGGCGUAAAGCGCACGCAGGCGGUCUGACAAGUCAGAUGUGAAAUCCCCGGGCUUAACCUGGGAACUGCAUUUGAAACUGUCAGGCUGGAGUCUUGUAGAGGGGGGUGGAAUUCCAGGUGUAGCGGUGAAAUGCGUAGAGAUCUGGAGGAAUACCGGUGGCGAAGGCGGCCCCCUGGACAAAGACUGACGCUCAGGUGCGAAAGCGUGGGGAGCAAACAGGAUUAGAUACACCUGUAGUCCCUGUCUCUUAUAC
rnacentral:rRNA from 1 species